UUCUUUCUAUUAAUAAUAGCCCAACAUGGGGCUGGCUGAGCAAAAAAAAUGAUGAGACUUUUUAAUCAACUGAAAAGACUUUUUUUCCCCCCGUCAGAUCGUUCAUGGUGAGACGAAAAGAGAGAGAUAAUCUAUAUGCACUAUUGAUCCCCAAUUUACUUUCGGGUUUCUUCCCUUCUGCCGGAGUUUCUAGUUGUGUUUUCCGCACUGUGUGAAUCUUUUUGCCGCGCAAAAACUGGGUCGCCAUGGGUAAAUCAAUCCGAGCUUCGUGGUUCCAGGUUCAGAACAGUGGUCUCUGUCCAAGACACAACUGCAAACACAACUUUAACACGUUUCAACAAGGAAGCGGAGCAGCUUGUCAGUGUGCCCUUAGCAAAAAAUUUGGAGUUAUGCAGGUUCAGGACAGUGGUCUCUGUCCAAGACACAACUGCAAACACAACUUCAACACUUUUCAACAAGGAAGCGGAGCAGCUUGUCAGUGUGCCCUCAGCAAAAAAUUUGGAGUUGGGGCAGGAUGGAGACAUGUCCAAGAUUCCAGUAACCGUGAAUAACAUCAUUAGAAAGGUUUAUGUCUUUUAAAUUAAGGUCACACCAUACAACACGUCACAAGGAUGUGAGUAAUACAUCGUCACAAGAGUCUUAGAAGACGCAACUACAGAGGUUUCAAAAUUAGGCGCGUGCACAGAUGCAGAGACUUCAAAAAUAGAAGCACACACAGAUGUAGAGCCGUCAAAAACAACCACACAACCAACAAAUGCAACAGGAGUCCAGACUUUGAAAACUUGAAUAAUAGGACGAAAAUUGCUUGACGAUCAGAACUUCAAGGCUAUUAGAAGUACGCUUGCCAUUAGAUAAUAGUAAUAAAUAAUGCAUGAAAAAUGUGAAAGACAAAAGGUGACAUGUCUUUCAGUAAAUUGAGAAAUUAAAAUUAAAUUCUCAACACUCAUAUUUCAUCUUUGUUUCACCUCCGGGCAAGCAUGACAGAGGUAGACCAAAGAAAUUUUCGUAUUGUAAACGUAGUUGCAUUACCUGAUCAUUGAAGCUCAAAUUAUGUAUAUUCAACUUGAUUAGAGUUAACA